ACCUGAUCAGGGUAGUGGUGCGCACCCCACAACGCACCCCACACCUCGAGCUGGUGAGGGGGGCACUCCCAGUGGGGUUGGAAGUCUUGUUUCAAGACUAGGAUAACACUUAGCCCCCCAACUGCUAUGGUGAGCCCUGGGGCCUGCACCAGCCCUUCCUUUGAGGGGCGCCUUGUCAGAUGUGGAACCCUGUGCCCACAAGGCGGGCUCAAGCAAAAACGGACUUGUAGGGAAAAUGCCUCCGGCCUGAGGCUGCUGCUGGGUCAGACCUUGCGCCAACACCCUUGUUGGUGGCUGCUCCCCAUGCUGUGAAUGUGGAGCACUGGGGCUGGGAGGAGGCGGGUGUCCUGGCGGGUGCAUGUUUUCUGGGGCUAUGCCUCUGUGUGCUCCAGGGCCCUCAGCCCCUGCCUGUGGCCUCUACUGUGUGCCCCAAUGGCUCAGGACUUGCUCCUCUUCUGUGCUCCUGUUUGCUUGUCUACAGGGCCUGGCCCCCAGUGUGCCUCGCUGUUCUGAUGCCCUGAAAGGAGCAGCGGGUGCUGCCCUGGCCUUGUGUCCCUGUGGCCCUGCCUGCUGUGGUGCUGGCCUCAGACCAAGUUGGGGUUGAUGGAGUGUCCACAGCUGCACACCUCAGUGGUGUGGCUCCUCAGGGAGCUUGCCCUCCCCUCCUGGAGGGUCAGUCAUACAGUUGCCAAUGUCAUGAGCUGACCCCCCUGUGCAUAUACAGCCUCAGAGUUGGGCCCUCCGGGCCUCUGUGGCCUUUCUUGUCUUGGUCUUCUCUGGCCAUACUCUGUGCUGCCCUGGCCACUACCUGGCUCUUGGCUUACACUGUGCCAGGGUCUCUGGGCUCCCUCCCAAGGCAACUAGCCACCUGGGAUGCAAUGAAGAGGGCCCUUGUGUUCUACAACUGAUGUUCACCGAGCACUCAAGCUGUAGGGGGACCUGAGAACAAAAAGUGAAGGAAUGUUAGAUCUUCAACCUCACGGUGUGAGGCACAAGGAAUCUUCAGCCCCACGGUGUGAGGCCCUUUGGCUUCGGCCCCACAGUGUGAGGCCCUUUGGGCUUCACUGCUUGCCAGUGUCUUAUCUGGCUGGGGCAUCAAGGCCUCCUGCAGCAUGCCUGGAGUGCUCUGGACCGCGGGCGGAGCCUGAGGUCUACGCUGGGACACCCGCUGCUCUUAUGCCCCUUUUUGUUGGAGUGACUGCACCCCAGGAGCACGAUGGGGAGAGACCCCCCCAUUUCAAACCUGCUUGUCUUCAUUUCUCUAGCAUAGCAUUAAAAGGCCUUGGAAUCCUAGUCAAGUGACAUGAAGGGUCUCACUUUCACCAUUUAUUUGGGAUUUCUUGCGUGAAUCCCAUAUUCUCGGCAGAGCGACGCUCUAUUUCCAUGUCCAGUCACAGCUGCUGAGCUCAGAGAGCAAAAAUUAGAAAAAUAGACUCAUCCUCGCAGGUUUUCCCCAUUACCUUCAUGGGCUUGGGACAGGGGCGGGCCAAAAUAAGGCGUGCGCAGUGUCAUAAGCCAACUUUGGGAUGCUACAAAUGGAAAAUCACCCUCAAAUGUCCAUGUCACACACACACACACACACAUGUCGUGAUCCAGGCAGGCCGCAGCCAAGGCUUCCAGAAAGCUUGGGAAAGCGGUGGAGAGGCCACAUUCCCACAGAGCCAAAAAUCAAGAAAAUGAGUUUUUGAGUCAAUCCAGCCAUUAUGAGUUAGAAAUAGGACGGUGUGACAUAAAAACCUCGGGGCAUCCAACUUCAGGAAGCUGCCGAGGCUGGUUCUACCACUGGAUAAUCUGUAGUCAGAGAACACAAAGGAUUCAACCUCCACAUUGACACGAGGAGUAGAAACACAUUUUUUCAAACCCAAGAGCUAAUCAUGGGAAACAUCGCAAAGCUGGAGGGAAAUGGAUAUAAAUCCAUCCUGAUGCUGUUUCUUUGGAGAAGCCAGAGUCAACUAAUCCAACACUUACAAAUCGACCAAAAAGGGAAGGGUAACAUGGUAAAAAUGAAGGCAAACAUGGCAAUGGCUGAGUGGGAGGAUUUUCUAGCAACAAAAUCCAUCAUGAGGAUAAAUAAAAAGCAACAGAUACACGGCAGCCAAGAGUCAGCCCUCCCUGGCUCCAGGACGUGAUCCCUCAACGGAGGCCUUUUUCCAAAUGUCAAGGAACCGACUCUUUACAAGCAGAUAAAAGGGUGAGUGAGUCCUCACAUGACCCCGAAUUCAACAGACAAGAGACUCCUCCGGAAACAAGAAGGGGGUUCAGUACCUGGAGAAAUAUCCUACGUCCCAAGGACACAGGUCAGGAAGCUACUAGCCCUGUCCACCCCCAGAGCUACCUCUGUCUACCUUCUGUGAGGUCCCGCUGCACCUCCAGCUGGGGCCACCGGGCGAAUCCCUGCCCCCUCCUGCAGCAGGGUGGUCCCCAGGAAAGGGGGAGGUUCCCUGCCCCACCCAAGGGAGGGUGGAGCUGAGCAGGAAGAGAAGCUGCAGAAGA